GACAGAGGUGCCGAGCGUUAGGCGGAAUCACUGGGCGUAAAGCGCGCGUAGGCGGACCUGCAAGUCGGGGGUGAAAGCCCGAGGCUCAACCUCGGAACUGCCUUCGAUACUGCGGGUCUCGAGUCCGGGAGAGGUGAGUGGAAUUCCUAGUGUAGAGGUGAAAUUCGUAGAUAUUAGGAAGAACACCAGUGGCGAAGGCGGCUCCAGCUGGCCCGGUACUGACGCCGUGAGGCGCGAAAGCGUGGGGAGCAAACAGG
rnacentral:rRNA from 1 species